UGCCUAACCCUCGUGAGAAUAAAAUCUCCGAGGUAUGGCAGAAAAACUAUCCCUAGUAUUAAGCUCAUCGUCAGAGCACUAGGGAUAGUCAUAUCUUGAAAGAGAUGUGGGUGGCCGAGAGGUCAUC
rnacentral:sRNA from 1 species